rnacentral:rRNA from 1 species
UCGCCUGGUUUUACAAAAACAUUUUUAUUAGAAAUUAUUAAUAAUAAGAUCUGCUCAAUGAUAUUAAAUAGCCGCUUUUGUGCUAAGGUAGCAUAAUCAUUUGUCUUUUAAAUGAAGACUAGAACAAAAGAUUUAACAUUUUAAUAAAUAUUUUUCAUUAAUUGUAUUAAAAUUAUCUUAAAAGUAAAAAGACUUUUAUAAAAUAGAAAGACGACAAGACCCUAUUGAACUUUACUAUUGUUUAACUGGGGAAGUUAAUAAAUUAUCAUUUUUAUAAUUUACAAAAUAAAAAUUUGAUCUAAUAAUAUUAAUCUAAUGAUCAAGUUACCAUAGGGAUAACAGCGUAAUAUAAUUUUAAAGACCUUAUAUUAAAAUAAGAUUACGACCUCGAUGUUGAAUUAAUUACCUAAUAAAGCAAAAAUAAAAAAGGAAGUCUGUUCGACUUUUAAAAAAUUACAUGAUCUGA